CUCUGAAGCAUCUUCACUAUUAAUCAAACAUUUGGUGAAGCUCAACGAUGAUAACUUCCUCUUAUGGAAGUUCUACAUCCUCACUGCACUUUAAGCUUAUGAUUUGGAAAGCUUCUUUUAACCUGAAUCGGAACCACCUCCCAAGCUUCUCACACCCACCACAAUCCCAAACCCUGCAACCACGUGAAUAUAUAUAUAUAUGUAUCUACACACUUAAUAUAUAUAUGCGUGUGAAAUUGUCGACAAAAUAUAUGUCUUAAUUAAUUAAAUGAAAAUAUGUUAAUGUUGUUCAUAAUUUGAUUUUUUAGAUGCCACAACUAUUAAGUUAUGCUCAUGUUGACCAACGACUUUAUUAUUAUUAUUUUUAGUUUAGUGCGUGGACAAGUUGAUUCAAAUCUCUUAACAUUUUGGUUUAAUAUAUAUUUCAUUUUACGAUUGAACUAUAUUUAUGUUGGUGUUUCGAUUUAGUUUUUAUAGAUAUAAAUUUCAUCAAUCAUUUCUAUAUUUUUUUUAAAUGAUAUGUUUUUUCAGUUAAUAUGUUUGAAGAUCAAUCUAUAUUAAAGUUAGUUUAGGUUUGAGAAAAAUAGUGAAGUUUAAUUAAAAUUCUUUUAAAUUAAUUAGUAUCUUUUACCACUUUCAUGAAAAAAAAAGAGUAUUUAGAAAAGAAAAUCAUUAAAGAUUGGGUUAAAACAAAAUUGGAACAUUAAUGAUAUAAAUUGCAACAUUUCAAAUUUAGAAACUAAAUUUAAACUAAAAUCUAAACUUGAUUAAAAAUAUAAUAAUUUAAAACUUAUGUGACUAAAUUAUAAAAAGAGGUACUUUCCAAUAGUAAUAAAAUAACCACAAAAUCUUUACACAAAUAACAAAAUAUAUCUUUAACUCAAAAAAUAAUUUACACACAAUUUUUUUAAUUUUGGCAAUUUACCUGAAAAGGUCCAAAAACUAAUUAUGAAAAGAAAAUAUACUUUUUCGAAAUAGUUUGAAAGAGCAAAAUUGCUCUAAAUUUUUACUAAAUAUAACAAAAUUUGAUAAAAUUAUAUUAUAAAAAUUUAUAAAUAUUUUGAUUCAUUUUGCUAUAAUUAAAAAUUUUAAAUUGUAGCAAGGUGAAUCACAAAAUUUUUAAAAUAUAAAAAAAAUUUUAAAAUAUAACAAAAUUUUAUAUUCUAUCACUAAUAUAGGUAGACUUCUAUUGGUUUCUAUCAUGUCCCCUAUAGACAUCGAUAGAAGUCUGUAUCUAUCAUUGAUAUAAUAUAAAAUUAUGAUACAUUUUGAAAAUAUUUUUUACAAUGUUACUAUUUACAAUAAUUAUUCUCUUUAAAAACAAUCCUAUUAUUUUUUUUUAAUUCUCCCAUUGGAUUUAUUAUACAUUUAUCAAAGUUUGAAAGUUGAAUUAAUAGUUACUAAAGAGUUCAUUGAAGGUCUAAUUUUCAAAUUUAAGAAACGAGUAGGUCAAAAAUAAAAAACUACAACUUCAUAGUCAAAAUCGGUCCAAGUCAUUGUCAUUCACAUUUCAGCUCAGCUUCACAGUCUCCAAAGCUUCUCCAAAGCUCUCCAUUCCAUUCUUCAAUUCCACUCGAAACCAUCUCUUUGCUCCUCACUGCAUUUGAUGGUGAGUUCAGAUUGAAUUUCUUUGCCAACAUUUUUCUUUUGAUUUCAAUGAUUUUCCCAUUUCGCAUUUUGUAACUUCGUUGACCAUGGCUUCUGCAGGCGCCCAAACCUGUUACCAGUCACCUUCUCAACUCUUCCUUCCCAACUGGGGUCUCAAUGAUCGCCUCUAUGGCCUCAUUGUUGCCGCUUCCUCUUCUAUGUAAGUUCGAUCGGAAUUUUCGCUUUUUAGCUUAAUGAAAUCUGGGUUAUGUUAGUUUUUCAGUGUCAAAUGAUGAAUUUGCAUUCCUUUUCGUUUUAUUCAAGUUGAUCAGAGUCUGUAUGCUUUUACUAUUUACUUUCUGGCGUUUUUUUCUGCCUUAAUUCCCUUUGAUUACUGUGAUACCAAUUAGAAGAUAACCCAUUGUUUGGUUUGGGAGGAGAUUAUAUGCAACUUUAUUCAUUCGAUCAAAUAUCAUCCUCAUUUUCGUUUUUUUCACACGUUUUGUGUUACUACAUUAAGAAUUGAUUGAAGAGAUGUUGGAGUGUGGUCGAAGUACCACGUUGGCUAGAACAAGGAUGAUAUAUGGUAUGUAAGUGAAGAGAACUAUUUUCAAUGGCACGAGGUCUUUUGGGUGAAUCAAAAAACAUGUCGAGAGUUGUGCCCAAAAUGGAUGAAGAGAUACAUUGGAAAGACUGCCACAAUGUAAUUAAUAUUAUUAGGGCAUGAAGAUUCAAAUCUAUAUUUAAUGGUUAUUAAGAGGCAGUAUUGAAAGAUCUUUUCACUGUGCUACCAUUGAUGAAAAUGGAAAGCCACGAGAGAUUGGAUACGAGUGUGUUGCAAAGCCCCAAGCUCUUUUCUAGGAGGCUCCAUGUUUUUAAUGAAACUUAGGGUGGAACUCGUUUUCAUAAUUCAAAUCUGUGUUCUACCUUCCAGCAAAAGAGGGUCAACUUGACCAUCAGUAAAGAAGAGUCCUCUGUACGCUUGUUCAAUAGAAGUCCUCCAGUUAUAGGAGCAUUCCACCUUUAAUAUUGAGCAAGGGGGUUAAUCCAAAACUCUAGGAAUAGGAAGGUUGACUCUUGGACAGGUCCUUUGUUCAUUGUUGAGGAUAUUUUCUUUCACCUGUUACUUGGUCUAGAAGUAGUGAAGUUGCUCUCUGUCCUGAAUUUCUUCUCGCAAUAUUUUUCAAAAUUUUAUUUGAAAAGAAAAAUGAAGAAAUUUGUUCUAGUUUUCUUCAAAUAUUUUUUUACCCAAUUCCACCUGUUCAUUUUUUUUCAUCCUGUAUUGAAAUGCUCGGGAAAAUGCAUAAUGGUAAGGAGUCAUUGAUAAUGGUGGUGUUAAAUUUUUUCUCUCCUUUUGUUGUAAAUGAGACCAUUUGACUAUGUUAUGCAUCAGCUUCCACCAUUGUAGUUGGUGGACCUCCUGCCAUUGAAAGGGUUUGGAUAUCCUACAUUUCUGAAUCUCCUAUACUUGACUUGGACUGUGAUUGGAACAAUGAGUGAACAAUCAUUUCUUCUUUGACUGAAGGAAAGUAAUCAGUAAUAUGGACAACAAUGGUCUUUCUAGUAGUAGAUUUAAAAGGUAGCUUGAAGAUCUGAAGUUUCUAUGUUUUGUCAUCCUUGACUUAAAGGUUGUGACAGGAUGCUAGAACGAAUGUAAUUGCAACAAUGAAAACACAGAUGUUUCGAUUGUAGGCUAUGGUUAUAAUCUGUCUCUGUUUAGAUGAUGAUUCGUAUCAUGGAAAACUAUUGAUAAAUUCAGUUUGAAGUUCGAUUAGAUCAAAUUUUAGUGCAAUCAUCUAAUGCAAUGGCUGUUUUCAGACGUCAUGUGAGUGUCAUUUCAAUAGAUAAAAUCCAACUUUCAUCUUCUCAUGGAAAGGGUCAUGCUAACCACAGUGAAUAUCAUUUGCAGCUAUGAAGAGACGUCUUCUAGAAAAAUCCGUAGUCUGGCCAAGGGACUUACUGGAGGAGCACCUGCCUUUGUCUUCUUGGUAUGGAUCUCUCUGUAGAUUUAUCUUAUCAUAUCAGAUUUUCUCACCGGUGAAAUGUUCGUGUUUGCCCAUUGACUUCUGUGCAAUGAAUGUUAAAACAGAUAUGAAUUAAUUUGGUUCCAUAACUAAUUAACUAAUGGGCAAAUUUGACAGGAUAGUGUUAGGUAUUGAAAUAACUGAAUAUAGUUCAUGUUGUUAGGUUUUAACUCUUGUUUGAUGUAAAGGCUUCUUGAUUUAGCAUCGUCAAGUAAGUGUCAUUUUCGCAAAAUUGUUCUCUUUACAAGCAAGUAAUUGUAUUGCUUAAGCAAAUAAUUUUUCUUUUUCUCUUAUAUUACCUUCAUUACUUGAAAUUCACAUUCGGAAAUAUUUAUGUCCUUUUCAAAAUUUCCAAAUCUUCUGAUUUCUUGUUUAAUAAUGAUUUCGUGAUUACCUUUUGGUUUCUAAAAUUUCACUUGUCUAUUUCUUUUGAGGAGGAAGUUUUAAAUUUUUUAAGGAAAACGGUAGAUUAGUUGCAACAUGAGAAAAGUUAUCAGUAAAUAAGCCUAGUUUUUAAAAAUUAGUUACAAAGUUUUAUGAUUUGCAAGCUUAACUUCCCUACGUAUAUGAUUGUUGAAUUUACAUAAUUGGUAAAGUUGUGCAAGUACUUUCUUUAGGAGGGGGCAUCCUCUUCCUCGACAUUAGGUUGUUGCCUUAUCCUUUUUGUGAAAUAUGCUUUCAAAAUUCUUAUUUUUAGAAAAAGAUAGUUACAAAAUUGUUAUAAGAAAUAUUCUAAGAUAAAUAUAGCACUCUUAAAAUUAUCUCCUUGGCAUCCUUAUCAUAUCCUUUUAUCCAAAAAUAUUAUAAAAAAUAGAAUGAAAUUUAAAAAUAGCUCAGUCAAACCCAAUACAAGCUUGUACAUCUGGCAUAUAAUAAAAAGAAGUUGAAAAAAGAAAGCGAAGAAGAACAAUGCUAGACUGAACCAAAAUUAUCUUUCUAAUAUAUUACAGAACACAAUUUGACUCUAUAUACAUAACUAAUCUUUUUAGACUUUGAAUUAAAACUUGAUUAUUUAUAUUGUUUUAUUACAAGGAGUUAUAAGUGUGUUCACAUACUUGCAUUUUUUUUGGAAGACAAACCAACAUUGUUAUAUGUAGGCACGCGCGCACACACAUGUACGCAUGUAUGAUAAUAGAAAUUAAAAGAAAAAAAAUUAAAACUCUUACCAUUAUUCUUAUAAUUAAAAAAAGACACAAAUUUGUUUAUAGGUAUGAAUCCUAAUUACGUUUAAAAUUCAGGGCUUAGUUAUCUAAUCCAAAAUUUAGAUGCAGUUGAAUAAAACCUUAAAAAAUGCCAAAAUGUUUGGCUUGAAAAUAGGACAGAGGUAGAGGUAGAGGCAGAGGCAGAGGCAGUUUUCUAAAAGUAGUCGAUGACAUUGUCCUUUUCUUUUGUCUCUUUGUUAAAUGCUUAUAAAAAGCACCUUGCUCUUGCAGCGGAACUCACCAUUCCUUCAGUGGUCUUGCAUCUGCCUCUCACAUUCUCUAUCUGCCCAUUUUAAACAAGGGCAAGGGAGGGGUAGAAAGAAGAAUAAGAAAUCCAUGCGCUCGCUUCUGUUGCCUCUCACUGAAAACAUAUAUUAUCUCUGCACGAGAGCGAGCUACAAAACAAGUUGCUGUUGAGGACCAGAGGGGCUGGCUUGCAAAAUUUUCAGAAUGCCAAAGACUGUGCUGCUGUUUUUGUGUCUGCUUACAUGGGUUUGUUCUACAAUAGGCUCCGUGACUUAUGACCAUAAAGCCAUCAUCAUUAAUGGUCGGAGAAGAAUUUUGAUUUCUGGCUCUAUUCAUUACCCAAGAAGCACACCCCAGGUUUAGAUACAUCCACGGUGAAUCGCUGGUGCUUUAUAUUAUCUCUUUCUAAAACUUUUUCUUGGGUUUUUGUGGUGGUUGUAGAUGUGGCCGGACCUCAUACAGAAGGCUAAAGAUGGAGGGUUGGAUAUUAUAGAGACAUAUGUUUUCUGGAAUGGCCAUGAACCUUCUCCUGGCAAGGUAGCAUGGGAAAACAUUUUGUCUUUGCUUUCUGAAUUCUUUUGUUUUAGUAUUUUUGAUAUUUUGAUGUGCAAAUGUACAGUAUUACUUUGAGGAAAGAUACGACUUGGUGAGGUUUAUAAAGCUGGUGCAGCAAGCAGGCUUAUAUGUUCAUCUCCGGAUCGGUCCGUAUGUCUGUGCAGAAUGGAACUAUGGGUAAAAUAAAUUGAUACUACCAGAAUCUUAUCUUAUAUAUAAAUUAUUUUCAUGUGGCUCUGUUCUGAUUUCCCUCCCAUUUUUAAUGUCACUAAUUCAGUGGAUUUCCUAUUUGGCUAAAGUUUGUUCCUGGCAUUGCCUUUAGGACAGACAAUGCACCUUUCAAGGUUAGAAAAUGCUGAAAUGUCCAUGGACUCUCCCGAAGCAAAUAAUUUUAUGGCCUAUUUACUCUUAAAAAACUGAUCUAAUUUUCUUUAAUAAAGGCGGCUAUGCAAAAAUUCGUUUAUAAGAUUGUUGAUAUGAUGAAGUGGGAGAAGUUAUUUCACACCCAGGGAGGACCCAUUAUUUUGUCUCAGGUAACUUCCAAACAUGUGAAGAAAAAUCUUUGCUCAUAUUCAGAAUGGGUUUCCUGCAUAUUUAUCAUUCAAUAAAAACACAUUAACAGUGAUACACUUUACAUUGUUUGUCUCAAUGUUUGGCAUGACAGAUUGAGAAUGAAUAUGGACCAGUGGAAUGGGAAAUAGGUGCCCCAGGGAAAUCUUAUACCAAAUGGGCUGCUCAAAUGGCGGUAGGUCUUAAAACUGGAGUCCCAUGGGUGAUGUGCAAGCAAGAGGAUGCUCCUGACCCUUUGGUAAGCCAUUCUAAUCUCUUUCUGUUGUGGAUUUAUUUUCCUUUUGCGGAUGUCUCUUUGCUGAGGAACAUGUAUUGGGGUUGUUUCUGACUCGUUCAAACUAUUGAUGGAAUGAAAGAGACUAGAAAAAAAAAAUUUGAUACACUUGGACCCAUACUUGUCUUUUUUUAUAUGUUUCUCUUGCUUAUUUCAAUCACUAUGUGAAUUUGUCAUUUGCUGUAUUUCUCAAUGUCUUAAAUCCUUUGAAGGCGAAAAUGAAAUACAAUCUUCUGUUUUCCCCUAUUUCUAUUCUUUUUGGGAAUUCUUUGAAGUUUUGACUUUGUCUCUGGAUCAGUUAAAAUUCUAUGGUUUCUUCAGCAUAAAUGCUUGUCUUCUUUUUUAAGUAUAAUUUUUAUUUUAUUGAACUAAACCAGUAGAAUUGUGGAUUUUGUAGAUAAGCUUUCUUUGUCAUUUUCUAUAUUCUCCCUUUUAAAACUUUUGUCUUCAUGGUGGUUAUGUCUCUCAGAUUGACACCUGCAAUGGGUUUUACUGCGAAAAUUUCAAACCAAACCAGAUUUAUAAACCCAAAAUAUGGACAGAAAACUGGAGCGGUUGGUAUGUGAUUUAUCCUCUGUAUUGGCUAAAGUCCGAGAAAAAAGAAAUUGACUUUUGAGGGAUUAGAUCACUUGCAUGUCACCAGAGGUCCUUUAGAAUUGACAUUCUUCUCAUUUGUGUAAUAUUCAAGGUACACUGCAUUUGGUGGUCCAACUCCUUACAGACCACCUGAAGAUGUGGCCUUUUCAGUCGCAAGAUUCAUACAGAAUGGUGGUUCUCUCGUCAAUUAUUAUAUGGUAAUGAGCUAUUGAGUGUUCAGUAAAGGUUAACUGAUGAAUGGAAUUAUCUCACAUCUGUAAAUCUGUUAAAAUUUUCUCAUAUGGCAGUACCAUGGAGGAACUAACUUUGGCCGAACAUCUGGUCUUUUCGUUACCACUAGCUACGACUUUGAUGCUCCAAUAGAUGAAUAUGGUAUGCUUUAGAAAUACUGAAAUAGUAGCUUCUAAAAAUAGGUUAUUAGAUGCUUCUAUUACUCUGAUAAUUUUUUGUGGUUUUGACAGGCCUAUUAAGGGAACCGAAAUGGGGACAUCUAAGAGAUUUGCACAAAGCCAUCAAGUUGUGCGAACCUGCUUUAGUAUCAGCAGAUCCUACCAGUACAUGGCUUGGGAAAAAUCAAGAGGUGGGUUUUGAAAGAAUAUCUAUGAACAAUUGCAUUUUUCUUUGAAAGACAGUCUAAUUUGAUUUUUUCAAUGAUUAUUGAAGGCUCGUGUCUUCAAGUCAAGUUCAGGGGCAUGUGCUGCUUUCCUAGCAAAUUAUGAUACAUCAGCUUUUGUAAGGGUCAACUUUUGGAAUCACCCAUACGAUCUACCACCAUGGUCGAUCAGCAUCCUUCCUGAUUGCAAAACUGUAACUUUCAACACUGCAAGAGUAAGGCGAGAUCCAAAAUUAUUUAUUCCAAAUCUUCUUAUGGUUAUAUGGUUGUCGAGAAUUACGUGUUGCGUCUGAAAAUGAUUGUUAAAGAAACAAAAUGAUUAAACAUAGGCUUAUGAAACCUUUGAAAUUCUUAAUAAGCCAAAGUGGCGUUAUUUGAAUAUCUUUUCUAUGUUGAAAAGAUGAAGUUUGAUGCAAGGGAUCUUUACAGAUUGGGGUUAAAAGUUACCAGGCAAAAAUGACGCCAAUUAGUUCAUUUUGGUGGCUUUCGUACAAAGAAGAACCUGCCUCUGCUUAUGCUAAGGAUACAACAACCAAGGAUGGGUUAGUGGAGCAAGUAAGCGUCACCUGGGACACAACAGAUUAUUUGUGGUACAUGACAGAGUAAGUCCUCUAUACUUAAUGAAUUUUCACCAUCUUUUGAGCAUAAAAUGUUGUUAUAUCUUACUCUGUCCCACGUUUAUCUUUCUUAGUAUAAGGAUUGAUUCGACUGAAGGCUUUCUAAAGAGCGGACAAUGGCCCCUUCUCACAGUCAAUUCGGCAGGCCAUAUUUUGCAUGUUUUCAUAAAUGGCCAACUAUCUGGUACAUUUAAACACACACAUUUUUAACUUAAAGAACUUCCGAGCAUUAGCUAAAUGAUUCUAAGAUCGUAGCAAUAUUAUUUUCUGAAUGUAGGAAGUGUAUAUGGGAGUUUGGAGGAUCCCAGAAUAACUUUCAGUAAAUAUGUUAAUCUAAAGCAAGGAGUUAACAAGCUUUCCAUGCUGAGUGUUACUGUCGGUCUUCCGGUUAGUUUCUUCGUUACUAUAUUUCUUAUUAUUGAUUUCCGGUUAGUUUCUAUGUUACCAUAUUUCUUAUUAUUGAUUAUGUAAUCGACUUACCUUUUCAUUUGUUUUAUGUCAGAAUGUUGGCCUGCAUUUUGAUACUUGGAAUGCUGGAGUUUUAGGCCCUGUCACGUUGAAGGGUCUGAACGAGGGCACUCGAGACAUGUCUAAAUAUAAAUGGUCUUACAAGGUACAUUACCAAAUCGAUGUACCGGAGCUUUCACUUUCUGUUUUUUCUUUUCUGUAUUCUUGAAAAACAGUAGUAAUGCUUUUAGAAGCUACAGAAUCUCAAUUACAAUGUUCCUGAGCAGGUUGGUUUGAGAGGAGAAAUCUUGAAUCUUUAUUCUGUUAAAGGAAGUAAUUCUGUGCAAUGGAUGAAAGGCUCAUUUCAAAAGCAACCCCUCACAUGGUACAAGGUGAGCGAAUUUCAAACUAGCAUCCUUUAAUUUCUACAUCUUUUUUUAUUGUGAAAACUUCACCCGUGGAAUCCGCAGACCACUUUCAAUACCCCGGCUGGUAAUGAACCAUUGGCUUUAGACAUGAGCAGCAUGAGUAAAGGUCAAAUAUGGGUUAACGGUCGGAGCAUUGGCCGCUAUUUUCCUGGAUAUAUUGCAAGGGGCAAGUGUAACAAAUGCAGUUAUACUGGAUUCUUUACUGAGAAGAAAUGCUUGUGGAAUUGUGGUGGACCCUCUCAGAAAUGGUAAGUCAAAUCGCUCUAAAAGCAUAUCCUUAAUCAUUGAAGGUUUACUUUUAAAGUUUUACAUUCAAUUAUCAUUUUUACCAUUUUAAAUUCAUUCCUAACUAAGCAUGCCCUCAAAGUUUUUUCUCUAGCUAUCACCAUUGAUAAACAUUUCAAAAUCUCAGGUAUCACAUUCCCCGCGAUUGGUUAAGUCCAAAUGGCAACUUAUUGAUAAUUUUGGAAGAAAUUGGUGGGAAUCCUCAAGGGAUUUCUUUGGUUAAGAGGACUGCAUUCUGAUGGUGAUAUUAUCACGAAGCUUUCUAUUGAGAGGCUGCCUUGCAACUAAUGAUGGAAUCUAUACUAAAUGUACACACAGUGAUGAAGUUUGUUAAUAUACAUAGAAAUAUAUGAUAUUCUUGGGUCAAAGCUUUGAUCUGUUUAAUUUGGAGGUCUAUGACUUUAUGUAAAUAUAUCUUUUAUACGAUUAUAUAAUUUUUGAAUACAAUAAAAUAAGUGUUAACUUGAGCAUCACAAAUUGUAUCACGAAGUUAGGAGUUUGAAUCUCGCAAACUCCACAAGUCAUCGAACUAAAAAAAAAUAAAGUAACAUUUUAGUACAUUUAUUUUGAAGUAUGAUUUUAGUGUGUACUUUCAUAUGUUUAAUGGUAGUAUUUGUGGUUCAAUAAAUUUAAAUUGGGUAAUUAUAAUUGAUGAUCAUUUUAGAAAUAAUAAUUAAGGAUAUAUCAACAUUUAAAAAAAUUGUAAAUAUAGCAAAAUUAUCAUUGAUAGAUUUGUAUGAUCUAUCAAUGAUAGACCAAUAUUUACAACAUGGUCUAUCGGUGAUAGACUUCUAUCAUUUAUAAAAUUUGACAAAUUUUGUUAUAUUUUUAAUUUUUAAAAAAUGUUGUUAUAUACUUAAUUAUUUUACCUUUAAUGGCUAAGUUUGCAACUAACUUAUUUAAAUUUAGUCUUUUAAAAUAUUUCAUGCAUCGAAUAAAAUAAAUUAUGUGAAUAUGUUUUCAAAACUUUAGUGAAAUGUCAAUAAACAAUAAAAAGCUUUUGAAAUUUGACCAAUAAACAAGCAACAGUGACUAAAUUUAUAAUUUAUUUAAAGUAUAUGAACUAAAAUUAAAAAUGUGGAAGUGUAUUGACUAAAUUUAAACAAAAUUCAAACGGUAGAAAUCAAGUAAAUACACAAUCACGAUCCCCUACACUUAACUAAGCUCUGACAACAAGUUUUAGAUAAUUUUUUAAAUCAUCGAGAUCAAACGAACACAAACUCGAAAGUUCACUAUAGUUUACUUGGGUAUGAUAAAGUAUGCUAUGCCCAACUCUCUUUCUCUUCUUGGUCUUUGCUCCCUUUGCCAUCCACCCAUUUCUUGGAUUUUUCUAAUCCUCACGUCAUUACUAAGAAUGUACUAACAACAAGUUCUAUUAUCCAUGCUUUACCUCACAUUAUUACUAAAGCUUCAAAGUCGUAAACAAUAACAUGUGGAAAUUAUGGCGUGUAAGAGCACUAUUGUAUUGAACUAGUUGAACAUGACACUGAGCGCAAGGAAAGGAGGUGUACAAACACAAAGGAAGAAAGAAGAGUCGUAGUGUGUGAAAAUGCUAACGUCACACGUUCUUAAUUUUCACGCUCACUAAAUUUACGAUACACAAUAUACGUAACUAACAUGGUCUUUGUGCAUAUAACAAAGUUGGUUGUGCAUAUAACAAAGGGCAAUCCUCCAUUAUUUUAUAAAAUUGGAUAAAUAACAUUGCUAAAAAAAGGGUAAAGUAAAAUUGGGCUUUUUUUUCGUUUCAGCAAAAAUAACCCUAAAAUACUCCAUUCCCAAGUUCUUCCGUCUGGGCGCGACUUCAGUCUUCAAUUCCCCUUGUGUCGAUACAACUAGAGAGAUCUCUUUGGAAUCAAUUUUUCUUCGCCUCCACCGGAUUUCAUGGUGAGUGAAUUUGAAUUCGAUCCAAAUCUGCUUUUUGAAUUUCAUUGUCUUCACCAUUUUGCAUUUUGUAAAUUCAUGGAUCAUGCUUUUACAGGCUCCGAAACCUGUUACCAGUCCCGUUCCUGAAGCUUGGUACCCAACCCUUGCCGUCUUGAUGAUCUCUGUUGGCCUCAUCGUUACCGCUUCGUUUUUCAUGUAAGUUUGAUCGGAUCUGUUCUGUCGAAAUGAAAUCUGGCCAAUCUUAAUUAUUCUGCGCCAAAUGAUAGGUUUUCUCUCUUGCUGCCUCUAUACAAGUAGAUUAGGGAGUUUUUGCUUGCUUAAUUCACUUUAAUUGCAAUGGAUUGCUUUAAUAUUUGGACUUGGAAGUGAGGGAUUGCGGAAAUUUCUCGAUCAAAUUAAGUAUCUUUUUGUACCAUUCAUGCUGUGAAAUUUAUAUUCGAAUGUGUUGACGUUCAUCCAUUUAGUUUUCAAAUUUGUCCUUAAUGUAUUUCAUUGGGCGUCUGCCUCUUGAUCUGCAACUACUGCUAGGGUUAUUAUCAGCCUCUUUGAGCGGUGAGCCUCAUUGAUCAUUUUGUAGUGACAGAUUUUUACAUAUAAUUGGAAGUCAAUUUUCAGACCUUUAGUUGAGUGGCGAGUCUCUUACGAGUUACGAUUAUAAUUUUCCAUAUGGUUUCCAUUGAGGAUGUGGCCUUUUUACUAUGAUAUGAUUCAGCUGCUAUUGCCUGUUGUUGAAGUUGGUGAAUUUCUUGCUACACCAAUGCUUAAAUUAGCUCUAUAUUGAAGAUGAUAUCUAUGUCGAGAAAAAAUUAUUCAAUUCGAUAAUCGGGUUUGAAGUUGAUGAUUAUCCUGCCACAUUUAGGGUUAAAUCUAUUGUAUAUAUCUCUGAUGCUUUAUAUGGAGUAUUGUUUGCUUUGUGUUACUUGAGGCGCUAAGACUUGCCCGUUGAACCGAAGCGUGUGCCUGGGUUGGCUAUUUAAACCACUGCUUAGGAAGUCUUGUGGUUUGAGGUCGUUCUAACGGCAAUGAAUAUCAUUUGCAGCUAUGAAGCUACAUCUUCCAGGAAAAACCGUAGUCUGGCCAAGGAACUCACUCGAGGAACAAUUGCCUCCAUUUUCUUGGUACAGAUCUUUCUUAUCCUCAAUGCAAUUCUUUUUCAUGGACUCCAUACUUUCACAUUGACUAUUAUUGUACAUCUCUUGUUAGUUAUAUUGCUAGACUUAAUCAUGAAGCCUGAUGUUAUAUAUUUACGGGUUUUACGUUGUCGUCGUCUAUUGCAGGGUUUUGGAUCCUUGUUCUUGUUGCUUGCUUCUGGUGUUUAUGUCUAACCUAUUGAAAGCACAUCUUGAGAAUGUGUUCUUAUGUAGCGAGUCAGUUCUACGUGUAUGAUGCUGGGAAUAGAACUACUUCCUAAAGACGGUGCUCUUUUUUAACAAUGAGGAUUGAACAUUUUUUAAUUUUUAUUGAGCAUUAUACUCAUAAAAUGCAAUAUGUUUGAAGGAAUUUUGUAGGGUUGAGAAAUGGGUAGUGCUGAGAAAUCAGCUUUUUGCUAAAAAUAGAAUCAUGUCUCUCUACAAUUAUGUAGAAAUCAGCUUAUUAUCAUCUUACCUUUGGUGGGCUUUGGUAUUUCAUAAAUCCUUCCCAAAAGACCUAUGAUCUUUCUUAAUCAAAAUGGGAAUCUUGAUUUGAUCAAGCCCUUAUGUAGCCACGUUAUGAUUGCUUUUGGAUCGUCGUGUGGAUUACAAUAGUUAGGGUUUAGGGUGCAAACUAUUUUAGUCUAAGUUAUAAUAGUUUGUAUUCAGGAUGUAACUAUUAUCUUAGUUUAAGUCUUAAUACUUUGUAUUUAGGGUGGAAGUUAUUUUUGUUUGGUUAGGAAAUAGUAUGGUAAGAAAGAUAAAAAGAGAAUAUGAACGAUAAAUAGAAAUCGCUAUAUUUAAUUGUUUAUCGCUAUAUUUAAUUGUAUGUUGUAAAUAUUGUACACAAUACUAUUAUAGUUGAUGCCUUCAAACAAACAACUCUUAUAAGCUCUUUUUACCUCUCUUUUCAAUAUUUUGGAAGAUCUCAAUGUCACCCAGAGUCUCCAUGACAAUAUAUAUAGAUAAGAUUGUUUUAAAAAACAGGGUGAACUCUUCUUGUUGUUCUCUCUUUUUAUUCUCUAUUCACAUUUCAUGCGUUUUUUUUAAUCAAUCAGUAAUCUAAUACUUCGAAUACUGGAUUUGUUUAUUUAUUUAUUCUUUCCUUUCUUGAUUGAGGUCUCCCUUAAUAGCCAAUGGUGAUUGGUUUGGUUUACAACCACCGGCCUUAAUGGUGUUGUGAUCAUUUCCAAUUUUUCACUAACAUCCUUCCAUUAUUUCCUUAAGAAGUUAUCUACCCUGCACAUUGAGUUCGGGUUUAACCUAAUCUUCUUUGCGGGUUGGGUUAAACCCGACCACCUUGAUUACAAAACAAAAUUUGUAAAAGAUCUUUUGAGAUUAUCUAUUGGUCAAAAGAGUUAUGAGUUUAUUAACAAAAUAAAAAACACAAAUUAAAGAUGUUGUCAUAUUUGCAAUAUGCAAAAUAGAGGUGUUGUCAUAUUUGCAAUACGAAAAAAAAAGUGCUAUGAGAUACUUUUUUCUGAAUGUUUGUUUUUUUUAUCAUUUGAUGUAAUUUUUCAUUUAAAUUAUGGGUUGAGGAAUUGUAUUAUAAUAAUAUGUUUAACACUGCACUUAUAAACUAAUUAAAUAUUUAUCCACUAUAUUUUAAUAUUUUUAAAAUUUUGUUCUUUAAAAUAAAAUAUUUAAUUCAUCUAUUAAGGUUAUUUAGCGAAAUAUUAUUUUAUAAUUUGGAGUAAUUUUUUUAAAAGAUAAAAUUACUAAAAAGAUUAUAGAAAUGAAAAAAAUUAAUUUUCAUAUACGAUAGUAAUAUAUUGGUAAUUACAUCCUUUUAAAUAUCUUGGUUAAUUUUGUAAUAUUUAAAAACAAGUCUAUAUUAUAUAACAACUUACACAAUGCAUAAUUUAGUUUAAAAAAUUAAUUUUUAAUAUUUCUAAACAUUUCAAUAUACGAAAAAAAGUUUCACUAAAACCUUUAAAUAGAACAAAACAAAAAUAAUUUUUUUAAUGGAUGAUGGACUUUAUCAAUUAUUUAUGAAUGUAACAGAUAAAAUUUUAAAUUACAAGAUUGAAAAACAAUGAUAAGAAAUAGUGUUUUAUUUUUGUGUAUGAGUAUCCAAAUUAAUUGGAUCCGAAAAAAGGAGAAGAAACGGAUGGCUUCAAGUUAACGAGAUUACGACAUGUGUCACCAUCAUGAACCGUAGAUAUUGGUACGACCAUCAUCAUCAUCAUUCAUCCAUUUCCAAAAUAUAUUUUGGUGUCGUAAAGUUUAUCACUGCAAACCUCAAUUCUUCAAGCCUACGGUGGGGUCUCCUUAAGCCGAAGAGAGAGACCCAAAGUCGCUGACUCAACCUCCACUCCAGUGAGCCAUGGACUCUUCUCAGCCGCAACAACAACAACAACAACAACCACCUCCUCAACAGCAGCAGCCACCGCCGCCGCCCCAGCAGCAGACACCUGUUGUCAAGAAGAAGGAAACCAGAGGCCGAAAACCCAAGCCCAAGGACGAGAAAAAGGACGAACAACUAACUAAGAAGAUGAAAGCUCAACAACAACCUUCCGUUGAUGAGCGUUAUACUCAGUGGAAGUCUCUUGUUCCUGUUCUCUAUGACUGGUUUGCUAACCAUAAUCUCGUUUGGCCUUCUCUCUCUUGCCGGUACUUUGCUUACUUCAACUCUUUCUUUCUUUCUUUCUUUCUUUCUUUCUUUCUUAUGCUUUUUACUGUAAUGUAGCUUCUUUUCUCGCCUCUAGGGUUUUCUCUUUGCUCUUUAUUUUACUUCUCUUGUUGUUUUUCUUUGGAUUGUUGGAUCUGUCGUCUUUUGUUUUUUUAGGGUUUUUACUAUUUGUCGCGUUUUUUGUGAAUUUGAGCUUGUGAAAUUGAGUGGGUUAUGUUGUUUUUUGUUAAUUAUCAUGUUGCAUUGUGUUUAUUGGUUUUUAUGUUAUCUUUCAUUCUCUUCUACAGCUAGUUGGUGGGGAUGGGGGUUGGGUAUAUGGUGUUUCUUUGAUUUGAGUUUGACGAUUUUCUGGGUCUAGGUGGGGUCCUCAGCUUGAGCAAGCGACGUAUAAGAAUCGACAGCGACUUUAUCUUUCUGAACAGGUGAGUACCGUAGUGAUUUGUUGAAAUGGCUGCAUUGUUUAUUUCUCUAUGUAAAUAUGCUGAAUUGCGGCUGAGGAUUGUUUAUUUCUCUAUGCUAUAUCACGUUGAAGAUUGUUUUUUAAAAUUUUGUUUACUUUUUGUUUUUUCUUUUCAUUCUUUGUUAUCAGACUGAUGGUAGUGUUCCAAAUACACUGGUUAUUGCAAAUUGUGAAGUUGUGAAGCCUAGAGUUGCAGCUGCAGAGCACAUUUCUCAGGUGUUCGGUCAAUUUCAAAGCUUAAAAGCUCUAUGGACAUUUUUUUUUUUGCCACUCAAUUCAUGUAUCAUGUGUUAUUAUAUUUUCAGUUCAACGAAGAAGCACGCUCACCAUUUGUGAAGAAGUACAAGACUAUCAUACACCCUGGUGAGGUAUGUCUUUGCAACUUCUCAAACAAUGGAGUAUGAAACAUAUGAAAACAUUAGAUAUAGUGAAGUUCAUCUUCAUAUAAGCUGGUUAAUCUCUUCACGCAUUCCCUCUAUAUUAUCAUGUGGUUAUUCUUACAUUAUUUUUUCCCGUUUGAAGGUCUUUCUUCUCAAUCACGAAAAUUAUAUAUUUUUUCGGGAUAGUUGUCGUUUGGUUGGAAGUUGAAAAUGAUGUAAAAUGAAGAGUGUUCUUUUAGAAUUGAUCUUUUUCUAAUGGUCUUUGUUGUAUAUUUUCCCAGGUUAACAGAAUUAGGGAACUUCCCCAGAAUUCUCGAAUUGUUGCCACACACACUGAUAGUCCAGAUGUAUGUGCUGUUAAUUUUAACUCUGGCUGUAUUCCAAUUGGAAAAUUUAUGUCUUCGGUACAUUCAACAAAUAUUGGUCUAAGUCUCUUUGGUAUUCAACAUCCAGGUCCUCAUUUGGGAUGUUGAGGCACAACCUAACCGUCAUGCCGUCCUUGGGGCCACAAAUUCUCGCCCAGAUUUGGUAAUUCUGUUAAAAACUCAAAUUGCCAACUUGUUCUAUGUUGUCCUAUUCUUGUUGCUAUAUCUUAAAACUCUGGUGUAUAUAUCUGUUGGAUGUUUCUAUAUCUAUCCUCUGAUUACAACCUUGUUGGAAUACAUAACACUGAUGUUGGAGUAUGUCUUGCAUUAAAACGAAACUAAUUUUUUUGGCUCUGCAUCAUUAGGAUGUUUUUUGAGAAUAGCUGUUAUGAUAGAAGAUGUUCUUUAUACAACAUUGUUUUAUCACUCUCAUUUAAGUUCUAAAUAUAUAUAUGUAUGGUUUUAAGAGAAACAUGAAGAGACUCAAACAUUCUAUACUUUUAGACUGUGACAGGUCAUUGAUAAGUCUGCAAGACUUCUUAGGUGUAAUUGGCAUGUCUUAACAGCUUUUAACCUGGGCAAAAGAUAAAUUCUUCUGGUGUUUGUAACAUGAACAUUCUAAACUUGCUUGUUUCGUAAUCUUGUGUUAACUUGCUGUCAAUUUGCAGAUCCUUACUGGUCAUCAAGAAAAUGCCGAGUUUGCUCUAGCAAUGUGCCCCACUGAACCUUAUGUUCUCUCUGGAGGUUGAAAGCCUUCCAAUCUUUUUCUAUCCUUAAAUUGGUCCUGCUAAUUAAAUUCAAUCUGGAAAGUUAUGCUCAACUCUACCACUGUUUCAGAUGUAGAUGUCAAAUUACUUUUGUUAUCUUUUACGAAACCUAUCUUCUUCUUCUUCUUUUUUUGCUGUAGUGGAUUUUAUGACUAUCUUAUGGUUUGGAUUCUCGUUUGUGGGGUUCUGUUUCUUAUAUGCUAUUUAAUCUUAUGGCAGGGAAGGACAAAUUAGUUGUUUUAUGGAGUAUCCAGGACCACAUAACAACUUCUGCCACAGAUGCUGGUGCUUCAAAAUCACCAGGAUCUGGAGGAUCUAUCAUAAAGAAGCCUGGAGAGGCAAAUGAUAAAGCUUCUGAUGGCCCUUCUAUUGGGCCACGAGGAGUUUACCAUGGCCACGAGGAUACCGUUGAAGAUGUGACCUUCUGUCCAUCCAAGUAAUAUCUUAGUUCUGAAUUACAAGUUAUUCACUAUUUUAUUGUGUGCAUUAUCUAUACAUGGAUGUAUGGACAUGGAAUAUAAAACCGUUUUUAUUCAAAAAGAUACUUUGAUUAGCAUGUAGAGUAGAACGGUUAAUUUCUAGUUGGGGCUGGUUUAUUUGGUUUGACCAAGAUGAGAGGUUUUGAAGGGUAGAGUUUUGCAUGGCGGAUGAGGAUUGGUUUGCAGUUAAAAGAAGUGCUCUUGAUUAUGCUAUGUAUAAACUAUUGAUUAGAGAAUAAUGUUUACAGUAUACUCUCUUCACAACACUGAAAAUAGUUUUAAAAAGAACUUCAAUAAAACUUCUUAUUUUUUAAUCUUCCAAGUUAAAGAUCGCACCCAUAAUAAUUUUUUUUGAUGCUUUAAUUUGGUUGUGACUUGGUAUAAAGAAUCUCUUUUCACUUUAGGUAUAGUUCCCUUCUACCUAGAUGAAGAGGUCUCUUGUAAUCUUUAUAUUGAGGUCUUCCCCUUUUUAUAAAUUCAUGUUGCACCAUCCAUGAAUAAAUUCUAGUCGCACCUCCAUGAAUUAAUUCAAGUCGCACCAUCCAUGAAGUUGUUUCUUAACACCCAUCAUGAAAAAUGAAAAGAGUAUUUAACUUUGUGUCUUCAUGUUCAUGUACGUCUGUUUUUAUUUCACUUGAGUGGAUGGAAUUCAAUUUUUAGUGAUUUCUUUGCCAAGUUUAACCAGCAACUUCCCGGUCUUGCCUUCUUUAGUGCACAGGAGUUUUGCAGUGUGGGAGAUGAUUCUUGCCUAAUAUUAUGGGAUGCCCGUACUGGCUCAAGCCCUGCUGUCAAGGUCGUACUUCUCUUGUUUAAUUUUCUCUGUAACAAGGGGUUAUCCUUGUCAGAUAAUUUGGAUGUUGAAACUUAUCAUUCUCCCAUUAUGAGUAAUAUUUUUUGUUUGUUAUGGUAAUAGGCUGAGAUUUCCAUGGUGUUUGUUUGUAGUAGUGAUUGUUUUGUUUUGUUCAUUUCAACUUUCAAGUAUUGUGUAGGAGAUUUACCCUGCAAGAUGAAAUGGAUAUCCAACAAUUUAAUUCCGCCUUUGAUGUUUUUAUAAUCAGAGCGCAUAUUUUUGGAAAUUCUUUUAUUCAUUCUAGUACUUCUUUCUGGUUGACAGGUCGAAAAGGCACAUAAUGCUGAUCUUCAUUGUGUUGAUUGGAAUCCCCAUGAUGAUAAUCUUAUAAUAACAGGGUAAAUUUUAGUACCUUUUUUUUUUCUUUCACUUACUAAUGUUUAUGGAAAAUUGUCUUAUAUAUUUAUAUAAAAAAGAGAAAAAUAUACAGAGAUGGGGAGUGAGAAGAAAUAAUAAGUAGCACGAUGGUCUUACUGAUAUUUUCUCCUACUUAAUUAGAUUAGAUUUUGUGUUGUAUUUGGUUUGGUUUCUGUUAGGAUACUAACAAUAAUUUAGACCGAAAGGACUGUAUAAAUGGCUUAAACAGAGGCGGUACUCUGGUUUACUUUAUUUAUAUAUAAAGCCAAAUGAUCCAGAUUCACAAGAUGAAAAGAAAUAACAAGAAACAACAAGGAAAAAUGCAGAAAAGAUCAUACCAGCCUCUUGGUUUUAAGAGACCCUGGUGGCUGCUGUAGCCCUACCUCCUAAAAGAUAAAAAUACCCUAGCUACUCCAACCUAAUAAUCCUAUUUAUAGACUCACAUAUUCCUCAGCCCAGUGGGCCCUACCACUCAGAACGUCCUUCCAAUCAUUUCUCCAUAAUAAUUCCCUGUGCAGUUACUUUUCUACCCUUCCUCCUAUAAGUAUGGAUAAUUGGGGGUCUUACAGUUUCAUCAUCUUAUAGAUAUUGCAGUGGAAUACAUGAUUACAUUUGGCACAAAUUUCUCUUCAGGUCAGCAGACAAUUCUAUUCGUUUGUUUGAUCGUCGGAAUCUCACUUCUAAUGGAGUUGGCUCACCAAUCUAUAAAUUUGAGGGCCACAAAGCAGCAGUUCUUUGUGUUCAGGUAUUCUUUUUGUUUUUUAAGUAGUUUAAUUAUGGGAUUGUUUGGAUUUCCUUCCAAGUGCUUAAAAAUACUUUUCUUCUUUCACUUAGAAACACUUUUUUAAGCACUUAGAAAGAGGUUCAAAUGGGCACUACACUAUAUUUGCUUGUCUCAUUACCACUCUUUAUUUGAAAAUGCUCUUGGCGUUAGUUGUAAGAUGUAUUGACUGUACGAUAUGGUUCGUGUAUUUUUGUUCAGUGGUCCCCAGAUAAAUCAUCUGUCUUUGGAAGUUCAGCAGAAGAUGGGCUGUUAAAUAUUUGGGAUUAUGAUAAGGUAUAGUAUUUUAAGAUUUAAACCAUGUUUUAUUCUUCAUGAUCUCGCUUGUAGAAUACCUAGGGUUCAGUUCAACGCUGGAAGUCAGGAUAAUUCUAUAUUGAACUAUGAAUUUCUUUUCGUCUUUAGCUUAGAGGUCUGAUUCCAGUAACUUUUACGACAUCUAUCUAAUUUGUCUUCGGAUUUUUAUUGGUUUUUUUAGUAUAGAUCAUAAUGUUCGUUGUGAUCUCAGCACAUAUAUAAUAUAUAUUCCAGGUUGGUAAAAAGACAGAGCGAGCUACAAGAACGCCUGCUGCUCCUCCCGGUUUAUUUUUCCAGCAUGCUGGGCACAGGUUUUGUUUUGUUUCCUUUCUUGAUAGUUGAUAUGCAUGAAAAUGAAAAAAGACUGGGACUUUUUUUUUCUUUUUGGUUUUAAAGUUUGCAUUUGGGGCUAGUAUUAUGUAUUUGUAGUGUGAUGGAAAUUUGAUCUUUAUUAGAUCGUCCUUCCCAUCUGAUCUGACCUUCUGGCUUCAUCCAGGGAUAAAGUUGUUGACUUCCAUUGGAAUGCAGCUGAUCCAUGGACUGUUGUGAGUGUGUCUGAUGAUUGUGAUACGACUGGUGGAGGAGGGACAUUGCAGGUCUACCUUUCUCCCUUUCUCUCUCUCUCUCUCAAGAUAAAUAGAUUUGUAUGGUUUCUGAAUAUGGGAAAUGAAGAGAUAAGUUAGCAAACCAGAAGACUUUACACCCUUUAAGCAAGUACAAGGGUUGUGAGCUUAUUAACUCUUUCUGUUAGGAUACUUCCUAACAAGAACAGGAUCUGAAUAUCAUGAAAUAUAACUAUAAAGAAAUACAAGAUAAACCAAAGUAUAAGGCACUUGGAACCUUCCUCUAGUACUCUCCCCCAAGCCUAGAUCAAUCCACACAACAACCUCCCACUCACUCACCUACUCUCCCUCUAUUUAUGACAAGUAAUAAUCAUCAUUAUACAAUAACUACUAGUAACUCAAUAUCUAUCCAAGUGAAUUGAAUAUCUAGUACCUAACAACACGAACUGAAUAUCUAGUACCUAACACUUUCAUUGUGAAUAAAUGAAAGAAUACAAGUGAAUACUAAAAAAGAGAGUAAGCCACCUUUAUUUCUCUAGGUUGCCUACAGUACACGCGAUUGGUUUUUAUUUUAGGUUUUGGGGUUGGAGGGGUGCUAAUUUUCUCGUGAAAUUGCAGAUUUGGCGCAUGAGUGACCUAAUUUAUCGGCCAGAAGAAGAGGUGUUAGCCGAGCUUGAAAAAUUCAAAUCUCAUGUAAUUGAAUGUGCUGCAAAGCCUUGAGAGCUUCGUAAAGUAUUCUACCCAUGUGUUUCUUCUGUUCAGACAAGUUAUUGUAGAUGUUGUGUUUGUAGUAUUAGGUUUCAAAUUCUAGUCCUAUCUUCUUGCUCCAUUCUUUUCUUUUUAUUGUGUGCAACUACUACAAAUAUUCGGCAUAGGCUCUCUCUCUCUCUCUCUCCCUCUCUCCCUCUCACCCUCUCUCUCUACCAUUUAUAGAGUUUAUAGUCGUAGAAUGAAUGUGAUCCAUUGUCGCACCUUCAAAUUGAAUGCUCUUUCCCUGGAUUACUUGUAGCAUGAAUUCUUGGAAUUUGGCCUUAAACAUGUUUAUUAUUCUGCAUUUCGAUUACCUUUUUGAGUUCAACAUGUAUGGGUAUAAUAUCAGGUUAGAGGAUUCAAACUUUUGUUUGGGAAUCGAGCAUUUCUUAUUAUUGCUUGAUCCAACUUAUUUAGCAACUCCUUUAUAUUUCUACAAAACUAGCACUCGAUAAUGGAAAAUUCGACUCUACAGCAACAUUUUUUCUUUGCAUAUGCUUUUGAGUUCAUAAGUUGAGUUGUGAUUCUGUGAUUCCGAGUUGUGCUACAAAAUCGAAUUUUGAGCUUCCAUUGAUUUGAAUCUUAAUAUAUAAUAUAUAUAUCUCCAAAUCUCUCAUCUCAUUGUUCAUUUUUUGCAUUUUGAUAUUUAUUUUGUUUGAAUUUUAUCAUAAAUUUGAGUAGGACGAGGUGUCUGUGUGACUUGUAUCAUUCUUCUUCAUUGGUACUUAUUCAGUUUAUCAGGUAAAAUUUGAAACCAUAUCCCAUCUGUUAAUUAUUAUUCUUUGAAUUCAGCAUGGAAUUGUUAAUUGCAUAUCCAUGUUUGAAGUUCAAUAAUCAAAAUUAAGCUUUGUGGGAAUGCAAUGGGUCAUUAUAACAUGUUCUCUUUUUCUUAUUUUGAAUUCUCUAAUGUUUAUCCUUUAAAUUUUUUCAACAG
rnacentral:lncRNA from 1 species